rnacentral:rRNA from 1 species
UGGGGAAUAUUGCGCAAUGGGCGAAAGCCUGACGCAGCGACGCCGCGUGAGGGAUGAAGGCCUUCGGGUUGUAAACCUCUUUCAGCAGGGACGAAGCGAAAGUGACGGUACCUGCAGAAGAAGCACCGGCCAACUACGUGCCAGCAGCCGCGGUAAUACGUAGGGUGCAAGCGUUGUCCGGAAUUAUUGGGCGUAAAGAGCUCGUAGGCGGUUUGUCGCGUCGGCUGUGAAAUCCCGAGGCUCAACCUCGGGCCUGCAGUCGAUACGGGCAAACUAGAGUGUGGUAGGGGAGACUGGAAUUCCUGGUGUAGCGGUGAAAUGCGCAGAUAUCAGGAGGAACACCGGCGGCGAAGGCGGGUCUCUGGGCCAUAACUGACGCUGAGGAGCGAAAGCGUGGGGAGCGAACA